CCAAAUGACACGGAAGCUUCUGUUCUUCAGCCAAUAACAACUACAACAAAACUUUCACUCCCACGUCACCUGCAGUUCGAUCCAUUGAAUCUACCAAAAGUGCAGCACGACCACAGUAGUGAGUACAUACACAUCGGUGAUUGCUUUAAGAUCCUGUAUAUGAAGGCAAUGGUAGCAAGAAACAAGCCAAAUCCCAUAAAGACGGCAAGAGCUCUCGUCCCUCUAUUCUUUUCUGCAGAAGAGUUGAUGAAGUGUAGUGUUUUGUACACAAAGAACGGACGGGAGCAAAAGAACAUCGUGUCCACGUCCAGUCUAGCAGCACUACUUGCGCUGGUUCGAUUCUUCUACCCAGGGGAGGACGCCUUCAACGAGGUCGAGCUUUGGAGAGCUGUGAACAAAGCGUUCAUAGACUUUAGAAACAAGCACAAGCGUACAUAGAUCAGAGAGUUACUUUACUAGCUAGGAUACCACUAGAUGUUGAAUAAAUAACUGUGAAAAGUAGAUCACUGAAGCACCAGCGACAAAUUCACUCAUCGUACAACCCGUA